rnacentral:rRNA from 1 species
CGGAGGGUGCGAGCGUUGUCCGGAAUCACUGGGCGUAAAGGGCGCGUAGGUGGCGACCCAAGUCAACGGUGAAAGCUCGACGCUCAACGUCGAGUCGGCCGUCGAUACUGGGUGGCUGGAGCACUGUAGAGGCAGAUGGAAUUCCGGGUGUAGCGGUGGAAUGCGUAGAGAUCCGGAAGAACACCGGUGGCGAAGGCGGUCUGCUGGGCAGUAGCUGACACUGAGGCGCGACAGCGUGGGGAGCAAACAGGAUUAGAUACCCUGGUAGUCCACGCCGUAAACGAUGGGCACUAGAUGCUUGGGGGAGCGACCCCCUGAGUGUCGUCGCUAACGCAUUAAGUGCCCCGCCUGGGGAGUACGGCCGCAAGGCUG